rnacentral:lncRNA from 1 species
CUGAUAUCCAUGGCUUCACUAUCUCUAGGUAGCUGAUUAGGCUUCUAGUACUGAGCAUGAUAUCUUUCUUGUGGAGUGGUCAUAAAGUCCUAUUACAGAGAUACUGGUUAGAACCAAGGCUUGUGUGCUGCUAUAGAGUCUUUCGGGUUAUCAAGUAGUGGUGAUACUUUUUGUGGUUCACAGUCAACACACCUGAGCAGAACUGUUGAUUGCAUGCCUCCUUUGGAAUCACCCUCAGGAAACAUGAUCGCUAGACCUUGGAGAAGAGGCUCUCAGAUAUUUGCAAGUCUCAAUCAUUGGCAUGGACUUUGGUGCAAAUCAAAGGCAGAGGAGGAGGAGGAGGAGGAGGAGACCUCAAAUAACAGAAAGAAGAUAUUCAAAUGACAAGAAAGUGGAAUAUAAAAAGGAAACUGAGAUUACAGGCCCAUUCUGUCUUUAUAAUAGAGCUAAUGUCUUGAAAUUGGAAUUAUAUAGUU